CACCAUUUCACGUAACAGGGGAUUUUAACAAUGAUGUGACAGUUUAAUGCAAGACCAUGGAGACCAACCGCUUUCAGUGCUGUUAUAAGAGAAGCACUAGCCUGAAUGUCCUUUUUUACUGAACAAAGAAGAAAAUGCGUUUUGCGACAUUUUUAUAACAAAGAAGCAAGGAAAUCAAAAAAACACAGUAUCAUGAUAUCAUCACAGACAGUAU